rnacentral:rRNA from 1 species
UGGGGAAUUUUGGACAAUGGGCGCAAGCCUGAUCCAGCAAUGCCGCGUGCAGGAUGAAGGCCUUCGGGUUGUAAACUGCUUUUGUACGGAACGAAAAGCUUCUGGUUAAUACCUGGGAGUCAUGACGGUACCGUAAGAAUAAGCACCGGCUAACUACGUGCCAGCAGCCGCGGUAAUACGUAGGGUGCGAGCGUUAAUCGGAAUUACUGGGCGUAAAGCGUGCGCAGGCGGUCUUGUAAGACAGUCGUGAAAGCCCCGGGCUUAACCUGGGAACUGCGAUUGUGACUGCAAGGCUAGAGUGUGUCAGAGGGGGGUGGAAUUCCGCGUGUAGCAGUGAAAUGCGUAGAUAUGCGGAGGAACACCGAUGGCGAAGGCAAUCCCCUGGGCCUGCACUGACGCUCAUGCACGAAAGCGUGGGGAGCAAACA